rnacentral:rRNA from 1 species
AUGAACGGCUGGCGGCGUAGCUUAACACAUGCAAGUCGAACGAGUUUUAAUGGAAGCCUCGGGUGGAAGUUUAGAAACUUAGCGGCGGACGGGUGAGUAACGCGUGGGUAACCUGCCUCAUACAGGGGGAUAACAGUCGGAAACGAUUGCUAAAACCGCAUAAUAUAGCGAAACCGCAUGAUUUUGCUAUCAAAUAUUUAUAGGUAUGAGAUGGGCCCCGCGUCUGAUUAGCUAGUUGGUGGGGUAAUAGCCUACCAAGGCGACCGAUCAGUAGCCGGCUUGAGAGAGUGACCGGCCACAUUGGGACUGAGACACGGCCCAAACUCCUACGGGAGGCAGCAGUGGGGAAUAUUGGACAAUGGGGGAAACCCUGAUCCAGCGAACCGCCGCGUGAGUGAAGAAGUAUUUCGGUAUGUAAAGCUCUAUCAGCAGGGAAGAUAAUGACAGUACCUGACUAAGAAGCCCCGGCUAACUACGUGCCAGCCGCUGC